rnacentral:rRNA from 1 species
UACGUAGGCAGCGAGCGUUGUUCGGAGUUACUGGGCGUAAAGCGUGCGCAGGCGGUUCGUUAAGUCAGAUGUGAAAGCCCCGGGCUCAACCUGGGAACUGCAUUUGAAACUGGCGGGCUUGAGUAUGGCAGAGGGGGGUGGAAUUCCGCGUGUAGCAGGUGAAAUGCGUAGAGAUGCGGAGGAACACCGAUGGCGAAGGCAGCCCCCUGGGCCAAUACUGACGCCUCGAGGCACGAAAGCGUGGGAGCAAACAGG